ensembl:lncRNA
CAAGCAGGAGAGUUCUUUACAGAGUGUUAAUAGCAAGUAGAGACAGGGUAUUUAUUUUGGGGUGUGUAUGGGGGCAGAAGGAGAUAAGGAAGCCACUGCCCAAAGUGAGUGAUCUCUCUGAUCAGUGAAGUUGGCCCAUAGAUAGGUCUCUGGAAGGAAGAAAAAGAGGGGACCUGAUCUGGAAGUAUUUUAAAGACUUAAACCACUAUGAGGAAGAUAAAUAUUGCUGAAAAAACUGAGAUAAAAUGUUAAGCUUAUUUUAAGCAAAAUUUGACCUCAGUAACAAUGAACCUCCAGAAGAUUGAAAAGUCUAUGAAGAAAAUAAUGUGCAAAGAAUAAUGAGAUUUCUAAUGUCAAACGCCCUCAUCUUUCCCUGUACGUACAUCAUCCAUUAUCCAGUCUUCACUCCUUCUUUGGCCACACUGUGUAGCAUGCAGGAUGUUAGUUCCCCGACCAGGGAUUGAACGUUUGUCUCCUGCAAAGGAAAUUCAGCAACUUAAGCACUGGACCACCAGGGAAGGUCCUCUGAUCUCUUUUUCUACAAAUCUGUUUAUUUGCUUUUUGAAGUACAGUCAACCUACAGCACUAUGUUAGUCCCCCACACCACAUACACACACACACACACACACACACACACACACACAUCUAACAGGUUAUUUAAUAGUGAUAAAGUCUGAGACAUGAGAAAAUUAUUAAGGACUCUUACCAAUGGGAAAAUCAAUAUAAGAAAAUAAAAACUCUGA